rnacentral:rRNA from 1 species
AUUGAACGCUAGCGGCAGGCCUAACACAUGCAAGUCGAACGAGUGGCGGACGGGUGAGUAAUGUCUGGGAACCUGCCUAAUGGCGGGGGAUAACUACUGGAAACGGUAGCUAAUACCGCAUACCAUCGGAUCUGCCCAGAUGGGAUUAGCUAGUUGGUGGGGUAACGGCUCACCAAGGCGACGAUCCCUAGCUGGUCUGAGAGGAUGACCAGCCACACUGGAACUGAGACACGGUCCAGACUCCUACGGGAGGCAGCAGUGGGGAAUAGUGGACAAUGGGCGAAAGCCUGAUGCAGCCAUGCCGCGGGUAUGAAGAAGGCCUUCGGGUUGUAAAGUACUUUUAGCGGGGAGGCGGUACCUGCAGAAGAAGCACCGGCUAACUCCGUGCCAGCAGCCGCGGUAAUUC